GGUUCAAUGCCACGUCGCCGGUAGCUGAUAUAAAGCGUUGACCGAUGAUGCUAUGAUUGGACCAAAAUCAAAUUUCAUGUUUCGCUUGUUGAUAGGAAUCUGUGGAUAUUGUUUCGUUUAUCUACGGAGCCGUUUUUAGCGAUUACAUUU
rnacentral:snoRNA from 1 species